rnacentral:tRNA from 1 species
UCCCUCAUGGCUUAAAGGGUAAAGAAUCUGCCUGCAAUGCAGGACACCUAGGUUCUAUCCCUAGGUGUUGGGA